GCUUGCUUAAUAAACUUUGAAACAGAAACAAUUUCCCAAAUUCAAAAUUAAGAUAAACCUAGAUAUGUAUUUGUGUCUGUGUGAAAGAAAUGUAAAUCCAUAAAGAUUAAAUCCUAGUUCAUCCUCAGGCCGUAGAAAAACACACUGAAGUCAUGACUACGUAGCUUGAGCAAACAAAAACAUCCACACAAGAGUGCUACUCGCGAAAGCUGGUAUAAUCAAAUGUUUGUCAAUUUGGGGUGGAGAAGCAUUAGUUUUGUCUGAUGAAGAAGGUGCUGGAGAAGCUGGCAAAGGUUGUUCAACAUUUAUAGCUAAUUUCAUUCCAUGGAAGCAGUAACCUCCACUGCUGAUAAAGUAAUAAGGCCUUGCUUGAGUUAGAUGAAAAACAUCUCUCCCACCCCUUGUAAUGUUUGAUAUAAAAUCGCUAUCAAUACACUGCUCAUAGUUCGUCUGGUUCACCUCCAGCACGCUGUAAUAGUGCUUGUCAAACACAAAAUAAAGCCAAUCGCCAACGUAAAAAUGUUGAUGAGAAGCCCAAUCAGUAUAGUUAACAUUCUGGUCCCAGCCAUGCUUACCGCCCACCUUGUCAAGUCCACUGGCUGCACAUUUCAUCAAUCCUAACAACAUCAUCGACCUUAUCAUCAUUAGAUCAAACCUCAUUUUGCACUAAUCAAGUUGGAAUUUGCUUAAGAAAAUGUAUUAGCAAUACAAUUACUACAAAUUCAAAAGAAA
rnacentral:misc_RNA from 1 species